rnacentral:lncRNA from 1 species
UGAUUCUGUCUUUCCAGAGUCCCCAGGGAAGCAUCAGAAGUUACUUCAAGAGCUGCUGUGAAGUGAUAUGAAUAACUCUUAUUCCUGGAACUCACGUUCUUAUAAAAAGAAAGCAGGUUGGCUGUUGUUAUUGCUGGAAAACACACCAGUUUCAGGAGAAAAGCCUCUUGAAGAUCCCAGAGAAAUAUUGAAGAAAAAAUCGCUGUUAUGUGAUGCCAUGGUGCAAAGCUUGUGCAGAACAUUGUUAACACCUGUAUGGAAGAUAUAAAGUUUCAUAUUUUAAACCCACAUUUGCUGUUUGCCUGUAUGUGGGAGCAUCUGCUGACUCCAGGAGGUGCUUUUUUUUCUGGGGGAAAUCACCUGGUUUGCAAGUGUAACAAUUUUGGUGCACUACUAAUCUGACUAUCAUGGAGCAACUUGGUUCUUACAAUUUCAAGACAAUCUCAUUAAAUUCCUG